rnacentral:rRNA from 2 species
CGACCUCAGAUCAGACGAGACGACCCGCCGAAUUUAA